UACGUAGGGUGCAAGCGUUGUUCGGAAUCAUUGGGCGUAAAGCGCGUGUAGGCUGUUAAGUAAGUCUUGUGUGAAAUCCCUGGGCUCAACCGAGGAAGUGCAUGGGAAACUACUUAGCUAGCAGACGGUAGAGGAAGGUGGAAUUCCAAGUGUAGAGGUGAAAUUCGUAGAUAUUUGGAGGAAUACCGGUGGCGAAGGCGGCCUUCUGGACCGAUCUGGACGCUGAGACGCGAAAGCGUGGGGAGCAAACAGG
rnacentral:rRNA from 1 species